GAUGAACGCUAGCGGCAGGCCUAACACAUGCAAGUCGAGGGGCAGCACAGGUAGCAAUACUGGGUGGCGACCGGCGGAUGGGUGCGUAACGCGUAUGCAACCUACCAUUGAUUGGGGCAUAGCCCGAAGAAAUUCGGAUUAAUACUCCAUAAUAUUCAUCAAAGGCAUCUUUUAUGAAUUAAAGCUUUUGCGAUCAAUGAUGGGCAUGCGUGACAUUAGUUAGUUGGUGAGGUAACGGCUCACCAAAACGAUGAUGUCUAGGGGUUCUGAGAGGAUUAUCCCCCACACUGGUACUGAGACACGGACCAGACUCCUACGGGAGGCAGCAGUGAGGAAUAUUGGUCAAUGGACGCAAGUCUGAACCAGCCAUGCCGCGUGCAGGAUGACGGCCCUAUGGGUUGUAAACUGCUUUUCCACGGGAAGAACCCUCGACCGUGUCGGAGACUGACGUACCGUGGGAAUAAGCAUCGGCUAACUCCGUG
rnacentral:rRNA from 1 species